UACGGGGGGAGCAAGCGUUGUUCGGAUUUACUGGGCGUAAAGGGCGCGUAGGCGGCCACUGCAAGUCAGUUGUGAAAUCCCCGGGCUUAACCCGGAAAGGUCAACUGAUACUGCAGGGCUAGAGUGCAGAAGGGGCAACUGGAAUUCUCGGUGUAGCGGUGAAAUGCGUAGAUAUCGAGAGGAACACCUGCGGCGAAGGCGGGUUGCUGGGCUGACACUGACGCUGAGGCGCGAAAGCCAGGGGAGCGAACGGG
rnacentral:rRNA from 1 species